rnacentral:lncRNA from 1 species
UUUUUGACGAAUUUAAAGUAAAAACAAACAGAUUUAAAGACUCUAAACAACUUUGGACGAAAUUGGGUGUUUUAAUGGGUGAAUGGCUAGCUAGAGGGUCCUUCUCCACACAUGACACAUAUGCAUAUAAAUCGAUUUCCAGUUAUUAUUCCUAUAAACCAUGAAUGAUAAUGCCCCAAAUUAAUCAUGAGAAGCACAAAUUAACUUUCAGAUUUUCCUAAAUUCAUUGAAUUGGACUCAGCGACGCAAUCAAAUUAUUCUUAUCAAGUUCCCUAUAUGAACUGCAUGAUAGAGAUACAUAUCAAAGAUCAUUAAGUUCUAUGAAAAUCAUAAGCAUUGACAUGACAUUCGUAACUAUGAACUGCAUGAUACUCCUGCCAGGAAUUUACUUAACUCAAUCGUGACUAGCGACUUCCACUACUUAUAAAUAUAAGUUC